UACUUAAAUAUAAUAAAUAAAUAAAUCUUUAAAGUAAAUGGCAAUCUUGGAGGUGAGUAGUUAAAAGAAGGCCAUGGUAUUUGUAGUGCCAAGUGAAAUAAUAUACCUGCCAGAAGGUUAAACUAGAUAAUGAAGGAGAGACAGCUAAGAACUCUCUGGGUAGGAACAAGCUUCAAGGUUGGGUAAUAUGCUAUCCCUAAAAGGGGAACUGAUCAUAUUGUGGCAUAGUUUAUGCUUCACCAUCUUUCAAAAGCACAGCAAUCAGCUAGGGGUUAGUGGAGCUGGGUACGAUGUGUUUCUGGUAGAGCAGCUAGAUGUGAAGGUCAGAGAAGAGCUGGCUAGCUUCUGAAGACUGUGAUGUGUGCUUCUGAGAAAGACAUCAAAGGCUCUGCAUUGGGCAGGAAUCUCAGAUUCAUUGAACUAAGUCAAAUGACUAAACAACUGGCCCUGGGAGGAAGGGGAGAGUCAGUAUCCAGAUUUGCUCUAGUGUCUCUAAAUAUUCAGUUGUCAACAACAAAGAACAAAAUGUGCAAAAAAGCAAAGCGCAAGCAUGCAUGCAUGUGCGCGCGCGCGCGCGCACACACACACACACACACACACACACACACACACACACACACACAGACACACACAAUGGAACCCCAUAUACAGGAAAAUAACACAGGCAUUAGAAAAUCACCUUUGAGGGUUUAUUCUGUUUUCUUUUCUUAUAAUGAAAAACCAGAAAGUAGAUAAUUUACAAAGAGCAUUUAUUUUAUUUAGAAGGUGGAGGGUUCAAGACCAUCUGUUGGGGGACCUUCUUGCUGUAAAAUCCGGUGGCAGAGAGCCUCACAUGACAAGACAGAAAUAGGUGUCAGCUCAAGCUAUUCUAACGCUUAUGGGAAGCCUACCCUGAUGACUUUAACUAAUGCUAAGUUACUUCCAGAUCAUGUAUUUGGGCAUUAAAUUUCCAGGACAAAAGCACUUUGGCAAGGCAGCCUCCCCUCCCCCGAAACAGUGCUUUGCUCCUGCCUUACAGAGUGUUUCCUCUUGUAAUGAAAAAUGAAGUCAGCAAAUGUAGCUACUUGUAGAUAGUUAGGUCUUCCUGGAGUGUCAAGGUUUUCAUCCUGCAGAUAGCAUUUUCUGAAGCUCAGAAAAUGUAACUACCUUCUUUGUAUCUGCCAUCUUUGCUGCUCUGACCUAGAACAGCAAGUGCCCCUAUCUAUACAGGCGCCAGCGCUGUAGUCUCGGUGUGGCUCAUCUCUUUCAUAAUUCUCUCUCCUUUUACCCCGGAAAGCUGCGGGUCCUCGGGGCCUGGCCUUAGGCGAAAGUAAUCAUCGCUGGAUUGGUGGACUCUGUGUGCUGGGUCCAACAUUCCUGAGUCUCUGUGGCUUAGGUGAGGAAGAUAAGCUGCCCCAGGCCACCUGAGGGAAGGGGUUCUGGUCAAUUUUCUGGCUCCCAUUAUCUCUGUAGCAGCAGCUGUCAGCAGGUGAGGCUGGUCUUCAAGACAGAGUGAAAAGAAGCCCUUCCUUUCAGUUUCCAGAGCAUCUAGACAUGCAGUGCCUGUGUGCCAAGUUUCCCCAGUGUUUUGAGAUGGCCUUCCUGUGCAGUUCAGGCUGGCCUGCCAUCUUCAUUUCCGUGCUUCAGACUCCUGGCUGCUGAGAUUAAAGGCAUGUGCCACCCCUGAUCUUUUCUCAUUUCCCAACUUAAAGUACUCUUGCUUAAUUUUAUUUUAUGUCGAUACAGCCUGUAUCAUAGCCCGAAUUUCCUAUAAAUGAUGAAGAUGUCAUUUA